AUUGAACGCUGGCGGCAGGCCUAACACAUGCAAGUCGAGCGAGCGGCGGACGGGUGAGUAAUGUCUGGGAAACUGCCUGAUGGAGGGGGAUAACUAAUGGAAACGGUAGCUAAUACCGCAUACCAUCAGAUGUGCCCAGAUGGGAUUGGCUAGUAGGUGGGGUAACGGCUCACCUAGGCGACGCUCCCUAGCUGGUCUGAGAGGAUGACCAGCCACCCUGGAACUGAGCCACGGUCCAGACUCCUACGGUAGGCAACAGUGGGGUAUAUUGCACAAUGGGCGCAAGCCUGAUGCAGCCAUGCCGCGUGUGGGAAGAAGUCCUUCGGGUUGUAAAGCACUUUCAGCGGGGAGGCGUUACCCGCAGAAGAAGCACCGGCUAACUCCGUGCCAGCAGCCGCGGUAAUAC
rnacentral:rRNA from 1 species